rnacentral:rRNA from 1 species
GACGAACGCUGGCGGCGUGCUUAACACAUGCAAGUCGAGCGGAAAGGCCACUUCGGUGGUACUCGAGCGGCGAACGGGUGAGUAACACGUGAGUAAUCUGCCCCUGGCUUUGGGAUAGCCACCGGAAACGGUGAUUAAUACCGGAUAUGACCACGUCUCGCAUGGGGUGUGGAGGAAAGUUUUUCGGCCAGGGAUGUGCUCGCGGCCUAUCAGCUUGAUGGUGAGGUAAUGGCUCACCAUGGCUUCGACGGGUAGCCGGCCUGAGAGGGUGACCGGUCACACUGGGACUGAGACACGGCCCAGACUCCUACGGGAGGCAGCAGUGGGGAAUAUUGGACAAUGGGCGGAAGCCUGAUCCAGCAACGCCGCGUGAGGGAUGACGGCCUUCGGGUUGUAAACCUCUUUCAGUACCGACGAAGCGCAAGUGACGGUAGGUACAGAAGAAGCACCGGCCAACUACGUGCCAGCCGCCGCCGUAAGAC